rnacentral:lncRNA from 1 species
GGAGGAGGUGCUCCCUCUGCAUCACCACGUCAUUGAGGAGGAGGAGGUGCUCCCUCUGUAUCACCACGUCAUUGAGGAGGAGGAGGUGCUCCCUCUGUAUCACCACGUCAUUGAGGAGGAGGAGGUGCUCCCUCUGCAUCACCACGUCAUUGAGGAGGAGGAGGUGCUCCCUCUGCAUCACCACGUCAUUGAGGAGGAGGAGGUGCUCCCUAUAUAGUGCACUAUUUUAGACCAGAGCCCUAUGGCACCCUAUUCCCUAUAUAGUGCACUAUUUUAGACCAGAGCCCUGUGGGUUCUGAUGAUUCAAAGUAAUGCACUAUAGGUGAGACGAGGUUUUAAUACACUGAUGAGGUUUUAAUACACUGAUGAGGUUUUAAUACACUGACAAGGUAUUAAUACACUGACGAGGUAUUAAUACACUAAUGAGGUAUUAAUACACUGUUUUAAUACACUGAUGAGGUAUUAAUACACUGUUUUAAUACACUGAUGAGGUAUUAAUACACUGACGAGGUUUUAAUACACUGUUUUAAUACACUGUUUUAAUACACUGAUGUUUUAAUACACUGACGAGGUAUUAAUACACUGACGAGGUAUUAAUACACUAAUGAGGUAUUAAUACACUGUUUUAAUACACUGACGAGGUAUUAAUACACUGUUUUAAUACACUGAUGAGGUAUUAAUACACUGUUUUAAUACACUGACGAGGUAUUAAUACACUGACGAGGUAUUAAUACACUGUUUUAAUACACUGACGAGGUAUUUGAUGUGGACGGAUACAGACGUUUACCCAGUGCUGGUUACAGUUUGUCUAUAUAGUCUCCAAUGAUGACAUGAUUUUUGUUGUUUUAAUUAUGUCUUGUCUCGGAAACCUGCUUUUCCUGGUAGUUUUCAAAUGAACAGUUAAAUCAUCACAAGAUGUUAUGUUUGUAAUAAUGGUCUUUGGCGUGGAGACGGCCAACUCGUCCAGUUGAUUUCAUUCAUUUAGUCUGUGUUUUGUGAGUUUAACCUUGCAGGAAUGACAAGUGUCAUCAUGUGUUUGACUGGGAGCCGUCAUGAUUUAGCUACCGUUCAUGUGGUUGAAUCUGUGAUGAUUGCUUAGUUUAUAGUUUAUAACAAUUACAUUUUAUUUGUUGAAUCGCGUCCGAGUUUAAUUUGAUGUUUCAUCCUGUGUACAUUUUGUAUGAUUCAAAACCAUAUGGACAGCGGCGUUUCUUCCAUAUUUUGUUGUUGAGAAACUUAAAUACUGUGACUUGACUUCAGGUACCCAGAAUGAUCGAUAACAGCAGUACAAAUGGUAGUUUCACAGGUCUUUUCAAGUGCUGUUAACAUUGACUUACUCUUCAAUCAUGAUUAUGUUUUUCCAAUCACUUCACCGUCAGGACUUCUUUCUAUUUAAAUCUGAACCUGUAGUGCUGACAUCUUUGUCCUGGGGAAUAUGGCAGUCCUGUGUGAGACUUUAAUAACACUGCCAUCCAGUCCGUCAAUACAAUCCUCACAGUCUGUAGCCAUACAUUUUAAUAGACCCAGCCUCGGACUUACACAGUAACAGUAACUUUACUAUAAAACACUGACACAUAUUUACUGUUCUGUUUUAAAUGCUGUUUGACUGUUCACGAUUCCAUGUCAACCAUUACUACACCAGAAGCAAUAAAGUGUAUUUUGAUUUGUUUCUCAGACUCUUCCUGUCAUUUCAUUUUGGGGGUACUUUCACAUUCUACUGGUGUUGUGUACAUCUGUUUGUUGAGAGAAACGCUGAGCUUCAAUCUCUUCUUCGGAGCUCAUUAACUAAUCUCUAAUGUCCUCCAUUUUAUGAAAUGGAUGUUCUGUUCUGAGGUCCAAACCCAUCUUUAAUGCAACGGUUCUGCUAAGUAUGUUAUUAACGUAUGGUCCUCGAAUCACAAAGAUCCAG